CUAUCAUUGACCUUCGGCAGAUUCGGCAGACAGCCUGAGCGUGGCUGACCACGGGGAACUGGAACCCCGGAAAGAGAAACCGAGGACGGGGGACGGAUACUGCUGCACCGUGCCAGGAGCUGGCCACGGAGAUGCAGUUACCUCCGGUGGGAAGUGAGAAAAGAUUUCAGUCUAAAAUGGAAUCGGAGGAGAGGAAAUGGAGAACCUCACGCAUGCGCCCUAAGGAUGAAGGGCUGCGCUUGAUUUCCCGCUCUAGGCUGAUUCACGUUAAGACUGAGACUUAGCGCCUGACCCAUGAACGUCCGGCAAGAAUCUCUCCUCACCCUCAAGCCAAUGAACUUACUGCUUGGACGCUGGCCGGACUCCCCGCUUUGCCCUCCUCGCAGGAGCCUGAGCACAGGAUCAUCACUGUCCCUCCCAGGACCAGUCACCAUGUCACCAGAGGAGCCCUGGUCACAGAGCAGACAGAGCUGGAGGACAGAAGGAGAGAUAAACUCAGUGCUCUGGACCAAAGGAGUGUGGACCUUAGCACAGCAGGACUCGUGAGAAGAUGCAGAGAGCACAGGGAGAGAGUCUGCAGGUUUCCCCUUUUGGAAGAAUUCCUCCGAAAGCAUCGCUUGAUCAUGUACUUUAUCCUGGAUGGAUGAGCGGACCUCAGAAGACCUGCCACAGAUGCAGCUCCCUUUAAAAGCGUGGCCCUUCACCCUAUGAGCC